CCCGCCACAGACCAGCACUCUCAAGCAGAGCGCGUGCACAGACCCGAGCCUCCUGUUUUCCCGCCGCUGCCACCCGAAAACGGCCCGCCAGGGUCUCUCCGCCGCCGCCGUGAGCGCCGCUGUCCCGGGGACAGCGGAUUGGAAGCAGGCAGUCACUGGCCGUGGACAGGAAGUCUCUCUCCCGCCAUCUCAGAUCCAGAGAAUUGUGAGAGACCAAACUGUGGGAAACUAGACCCGCAACAACUCUUACCCUGAAGAUCCGGCUGACCCUUUGAUGGGAAUUAUGUCACCCCCUCCUUCAUUGUCUCCACCUGGCGCCUGGGACUGCCAGCUUCACUCCCUCCUUCAUGUAUCCACUUAGUGCCUAGAACUGCUUAGAUAAAGCCAGCUUCACCUCCUCCUCCAUGUCUCCGUUUGGUGCCUGGGACUGUUUAUGGCACUCCAAGAUAAGCUACAAGAUGUUUGAUGGCUGCCUGGGACUGUUUAGUUAGGGCUGACACUCCAAGAUAAACUGCAGAAUGUUUGAAGGCUGCCCAGGACUGUUUUAAGGCCGACAUUCCAAGAGAAGCUGCAAGAUGUUUGAAGCCUGCAAUCAGCAUCUGCCCCAGAUGUCCAUCCCUUUCUCUGUAUUUUAUUAUACCCCCUUGACCCCUCCCUAUUUUUUCUCAUUGUGUGCUUAUAAACAGGCUCUUAGCCUCCAUUAAACAGACCUUGACAACUC
rnacentral:lncRNA from 1 species